rnacentral:rRNA from 1 species
GAUGAACGCUAGCGGCAGGCUUAAUACAUGCAAGUCGAGGGGUAGCAAGAUUGUAGCAAUACAAUUGUUGACGACCGGCAAACGGGUGCGGAACACGUACACAACCUUCCUACAAGUGGGGAAUAGCCCAGAGAAAUUUGGAUUAAUACCCCGUAACAUAGCGAUGUGGCAUCACAUUGCUAUUAUAGCUUCGGCGCUUGUUGAUGGGUGUGCGGCUGAUUAGAUAGUUGGCGGGGUAACGGCCCACCAAGUCUACGAUCAGUAGCUGAUGUGAGAGCAUGAUCAGCCACACGGGCACUAAGACACGGGCCCGACUCCUACGGGAGACAGCAGUAAGGAAUAUUGGACAAUGGACGCAAGUCUGAUCCAGCCAUGCCGCGUGAAGGAUUAAGGUCCUCUGGAUUGUAAACUUCUUUUAUAAGGGACGAAAAAAGGUCUUUCUAGAUCGUCUGACGGUACCUUAUGAAUAAGCACCGGCUAACUCCGUGCCAGCCGCCGCGGUAAAAC